rnacentral:rRNA from 1 species
UACGUAGGGUGCAAGCGUUGUCCGGAAUUAUUGGGCGUAAAGAGCUCGUAGGCGGUUUGUCGCGUCUGCUGUGAAAACGCGAGGCUCAACCUCGCGCCUGCAGUGGGUACGGGCAGACUAGAGUGCGGUAGGGGAGAUUGGAAUUCCUGGUGUAGCGGUGAAAUGCGCAGAUAUCAGGAGGAACACCGAUGGCGGAAGGCAGCUCGCUGGGACGGUACUGACGCUGAGGCGCGAAAGCGUGGGGAGCAAACAGG